UAAUAAUGGAAGCAAUUUGUAACUUUCAGUAGCUCUCUAGGCCUGGGUACCGGAAGGAGGGAGGCGGGCAGAGGAGGGGAGAUGGGCACCCCCAGUCUUUCCAUCCUCCUCAUUCGUCUAGGGGCAUUCGGAUCCCCUGUUUCUUAUUUCCCCUAUCACCCAGGCACUGGCAGGGUCCUUUGCCCACUCCUGUUGGCCACGGCGGCUCCAAAGCGAGAUGUGCCUGAGACAGGUUUGACCUGGCAACUGAAAAGACAUCCCUGAGAGAAGACAAAGCUCAGGUGUGAAAGGAAUGUGCAUCCCAGCUGACCAGGUGGAACAGAGCUGCCUGCUGUCUGGAACUGCGUCCUCCCAGACUAAAGAGAUGGAGGUCUUGCAGCUGGGCAUGGUGGCUCACACCUGUAAUCCCGCCACUUUGGGGGCCCAAGGCAGAUGGAUCACCUGAGGUCAGGAGUUCGAGACCAGCCUGACCAACAUGGGCUGCAGCCGGGAAUUCCACAGACGGUUUGCCAUGGAUCAAGAUUUCUCCCGAGAAAGAGCUCACAGGAAGGCUGCAGUGAGAAAUGAAGUCACUUGCUACUCCCCUUAUUUCUCCAUCAGGAGGAUGAAGUCACCGCACAUUUGAGUGGGUGCUAUCAAAGCGUAGCCUCUGGCCAGCAUGGAGACAAACGUGGGCUGUGUGGCCCAUGGCUGAGUGGCUGCAAGGAAAUCUGAGAUGGUAGAUGAUUGAAUUGAUUGAAAUAAAAUUUCUGCAGGAGGGCUGCGUGUCAUUCAUUCAACAAUGCUCCCUGACCCGGGCCCAGGGCUGUGCACAUGAGCUGCAAAUGGGUUUGUUCAUUCGUUUACCUAUCUAUUUGCUUAUUUAUUCAAUAAAUUCUGAUUAUGCCCUAAGAGGCACUGUGCUAGAUGUCGAGGAUGAACAAGACAAAAUCCCUGCCCCACAGGGGCUCACGCUCUAGAGAGGGCGGUGGAAGGAAUAUCCACAGUGAUUUGUAUCAUCUGCUGAGGAAAGAGAGUCAUUUACUAUGACCAUUUGACAUCCUCACCCCCCAGUGCGGCCCUUCUCUUUGUCUCUCCAUGCUGGGAGUGAGCAGCCCCUGGCCAGCUGCCCUUCAGACACAGCCCUCUUCCCUCAAGCUGUCCUCUGGCUGGAUCCCACCUUCCUGAUGAGCUGGACCAUUUGUGUUGAAGAAGGAGUCUUGACUCUCAUCCCUGUCAGUUGCUGUUUGGCUGUAGGCAGUGACAGAGGUGGCAAUGAAAGUAGCAGAGAGCUGGGCGCAGUGGCUCACACCUGUAAUCCCAGCACUUUGGAAGGCUGAGAUGGGCGGAUCACCUGAGGUCGGGAGUUUGAGACCAGCCUAACCAACGUGGAGAAACCCGGUCUCUACUAAAAAUACAAAAUUAGCUGGGUGUGGUGUCACAAGCCUGUAAUCCCAGCUACUCCAGAGGCUGAGGGAGGAGAAUUGCUUGAACCUGGGAGGCGGAGUUUGCGGUGAGCCGAGACAACACCAUUGCACUCCAACCUGGGCAACAAGAGUAAAACUCCAGCUCCAAAAAAAAAAAAGGGCAGCAAAAAGCAGCAAAGAGAAGGCUUUGG